GACGAACGCUGGCGGCGUGCUUAACACAUGCAAGUCGAACGGAAAGGCCCUGCUUUUGUGGGGUGCUCGAGUGGCGAACGGGUGAGUAACACGUGAGUAACCUGCCCUUGACGUUGGGAUAACUUCAGGAAACUGGGGCUAAUACCGGAUAUGAGCUCCUGCUGCAUGGUGGGGGUUGGAUAGUUUCGGCGGUUGGGGAUGGACUCGCGGCUUAUCAGCUUGUUGGUGGGGUAGUGGCUUACCAAGGCUUUGACGGGUAGCCGGCCUGAGAGGGUGACCGGCCACAUUGGGACUAAGAUAGGGACCAGACUCCUACGGGAGGCAGCAGUGGGGAAUAUUGCACAAUGGGCGGAAGCCUGAUGCAGCAACGCCGCGUGCGGGAUGACGGCCUUCGGGUUGUAAACCGCUUUCGCCUGUGACGAAGCGUGAGUGACGGUAAUGGGUAAAGAAGCACCGGCUAACUACGUG
rnacentral:rRNA from 1 species